UACAGCCACAUCAUGUUGAAACACCAGUUCCUGUACAAUCACCGAAGUUAAGCAACGUCAGUCCUGGUCAGUACCUAGAUGGGUGACCACUUGAGAAUACCAGGUGCUGUAAG